CACCCCCACCACCAACCUCACUGUAACUAGACUGGUAAUAAAAGUCUCAUUUUGCUACUGAAUCCAUUCAUUUGUGAGUAACGAACAAAAAGGAUGAUAUACAAACAGAAAUCAAAAAUCUCACCCUGCUCUGCACUGGAUUAAAAGGUUAUCUCACAGAUAAUCAUCAUUAUAGCAGGAAGUAGUUGAUUUUCAUCAAUAUUGGUAGCUAUACACAGAACUGUGAAUGUGCAUGCACACAUAUGAAUCGGCAUUCGCUUCUUUACUAAGAGCAACUCAGAAAUUAUUCUCAAAUGUGAACGUUUUAUUGCUAACUUUAUGAAAGGGACACUCAGGAAACCAUAACAACUCAAUCAAGCUAUCUCUGGACCAGGAUGACCCACGCUUCAUCUAACAUUAGGCAAUAAUCCACUUAUGAACGAUUUAGCCCCAAACUUGCGCAAACAGCACCUGUCUGCAAUCGAGCAUACUGCUAGUUGUUAAUCAAGUCACAGAUCUUUAGACAGAAGUAUUCAUUGGGUAUUUAUACAUUCUUUUCAGUCACUAGGUUACUUUGUGUGUGUGGAAGGGGGUGAUGUGACAGGAUGACUGAGUAUGUUUGGGGGGGCAGGUGAUGUGACAGGGUGACUGAGAGUGUGGGGGAGGGGGUGAUGUGACAGGGUGACUGAGUGUAUGUGGGGGAGGUGUGGUGUGACAGGGUGACUGAGUGUAUGUGAGGGAGGGGUGCUGUGACAGGGUGUGAGUGAGGGAGGGUAGAUAUGACAGGGUGACUGAGUGUGUGUGGGGGAGGGGUGAUGUGACAGGAUAACUGAGUGUGUGUGGGGAGCGGCUUGGAGUUAAGACGAGACAGGGAGGAUAUGAUAGGAACAUUUAAAUACAUAAAGGGAAUCAACACAGUAAAGGAGGAGACUAUAUUUAAAAGAAUAAAAACUACCACAACAAGAGGACAUAGUCUUAAAUUAGAGGGGUAAAGGUUUAAAAAUAAUAUCAGGAAGUAUUACUUUACUGAGAGGGUAGUAGAUGCAUGGAAUAGUUGAUGUGAUAGGAUGACUUUGGGUAUCUGGGGAGGGGUGAUGUGACAGAUAACCGAGUGUGUGUGGGGGAGCUGUUGACGUGAUAGGAUGACUUAGUGUGUGUUGGGGAGGAGAUGAUGUUACAGGGUGACUAAGUGUGUGUGGGGAAAGGGGUGAUGUGACAGGAUGGUUGAGUGUGGGAGGGAGGGGGUAAUAUGACAGUGUGACUGAGUGUAUGUGGGGAAAAGGGUGAUGUGACAGGGUGACUGAGUAUGUGUAUGUACGAUCUGGUGCUGUGACAGGAUGACUGAGUGUAUGUGUACUAUCUGGUGCUGUGACAGGAUGACUGAGUGUGUGGUGGAGGGAGUGAUGUGACAGGGUGACUGAGUGUGUGUGAAUGGGAGGGAGUGAAGUGACAAGAUGACUGAGCACGUGUGUGGGAGUGGGUGAUGUGACAGGAUGACUGAGCGUGUGUGUUGGAGUGGGUGAUGUGACAGGAUGAUUGAGUGUGUGGUGGAGGGAGUGAUGUGACAGGGCGACUGAGUGUGGGGGAGCUGAUAAUGUGACAGGGUGACUGAAUGUGUGGAGGAGGGCAUAAUGUGACAGAAUGAGUGUGUGUAGGGAGGGGGUGAUGUGACAGGAUGACUGAGUGUGUGUAGGGAAGGGGUGAUGUGACAGGAUGAGUGUGUGGGGUAGAUUGUAUGUGGGGAGAUUUUCCUGUUCAGCUUUGCCUUACAGUGCUAGUCAUUAUUAUAUUUAUGUUUCGAUGAAUCCCCCUCCUUCUUACCUUUGUCCAGUGAGGAGGGCUAUGAUCCCUAUUCCUUUGAGGUCCAGUGGUCUCCGUGGUAGUCUGGUGGUCUACAUGUGAAAUCUGCCAUCUGUUUGAGAGCAGACCCCUUGUAAUGCUACCUUCCAGUCAAAAGGUGCUUUCAGCCAGAGAGAGCAUUGAAGCGCUCAAUGAGAUCUUUAGAUUUCCAUACCAGCCCACGCAGCGCGGGGCCUGCGGGGAGAGCAGCAGAGGCGGCACUUGAAAGGUAGCGCUGACUCUGCUAUAAGCACAAUCAUCGCAAAGAAAUCUGUGAACGAAUUUUAUUUGCAAUGAUUGUAAACGUGUUACACGAUUGUGGGGUAUGGGUCAAGACCUUUCAAUCAUGUAUACACUAGUGCCAACGGGAAGGGGUUUAGGGAACAAAUAGAGCAGCAUUUGAUUGGCGCAGUGUAACAUUUUGCCAUGCAUUCACACAAGCCUCACAAUGCAUACUUAUG